CGCGCUGGAUGACGGCGCCAAGCUGUCGGGCCUGCAGCGCAUCGUCGAAAACGACGCCAACGAAGCCCAAGAUCCCGACAGCGCCGCCGAGCCUGGCGAGGCCGGCGACAACCCCGAAGCUCCCAAGGACUGACAUGAUUUCUCGCAAGCUGGGCCUGGCCCUGGCGGUGUCCCUCUCGCUCGCCGCUGGCGCCGCACUGGCCGAGCCCUCCCCGUCCAAGAAGGCGCUGAUCGACAAGCUGGUCAAGUUGCAGCAGCCGGCUGCAGAAAUGCUGGCCCGCACGGUGGUGCAGCAGCCGCUCGGCCAGUUGAUGCAGGCCGCCGGCCAGGCGCUGCAGCAAGUGCCUGCCGAAAAGCGCGAGGCCACCGCCAA
rnacentral:sRNA from 1 species